CGCGUAGGUGGUUUGUUAAGUUGGAUGUGAAAUCCCCGAGCUUAACUUGGGAAUUGCAUUCGAUACUGGUUGGCUAGAGUGUGGGAGAGGAUGGUAGAAUUCCAGGUGUAGCGGUGAAAUGCGUAGAGAUCUGGAGGAAUACCGAUGGCGAAGGCAGCCAUCUGGCCUAACACUGACGCUGAGGUGCGAAAGCAUGGGGAGCAAACAGGAUUAGAUACCCCCGUA
rnacentral:rRNA from 1 species